CGAGUUUUUCACCAUUUUUUUGACUUCCAAGCUCGGGUUUUGGGCGAUUUUUGGAGCAAAAUGAAGAGGGUUUCGAUGGGAAUUGAUUGGAGAUUCGUCGCUCGUGGAGGAGAAUUCGAAAGGAAAAGGCAUUUCGGGCUAGUUUUUCGGCCGUGUCGAGAUACAGGUAGAGCUGAGACAGCACCUAAGCGCUGGUUUUAUCCAGACCAGGCUGUGACGAGGAGAGCGAGGUAGCUGUUGGCGUUCGCAGCCCCGUUUUCUCCCUUAUCUUUUAUUACUUGUAUUAUUUCCAGACUUGUAAA